rnacentral:rRNA from 1 species
UAACACGUGGGUAAUCUGCCCUCGCACAUCGGGAUAAGCCUGGGAAACUGGGUCUAAUACCGGAUAUGACUACGGGACGCAUGUCCUGUGGUGGAAAGCUUUUGCGGUGUGGGAUGGGCCCGCGGCCUAUCAGCUUGUUGGUGGGGUGAUGGCCUACCAAGGCGACGACGGGUAGCCGGCCUGAGAGGGUGUCCGGCCACACUGGGACUGAGAUACGGCCCAG